UUUCAAACGGAACAGUACGACACGGUAAAGCCGAAAGACAAGACACCGAGUAAACGCUCGGUCGCGUUAUAAGGUCCGGAACAGUAACAUCCGAAUCGGGUACCCCGUUCAAAUAUCCACUCUAGUCCCGGGUUAAUACGGGUACUAUGCUGAUCAGGUCCCGUUCCCACGAGUACUGCAUUAGUUGGGUUCCAGAUUCCCACGGAUUGUACACUGUAAUUGGGUUUCGAGUUAAUAGUGAGUAGAAUAGCAGUUCUAAAAUAUACCCAAGUAGACACUUGCAUCAAAAUG